rnacentral:rRNA from 1 species
CAGCCGCCGCGGGAAUACAGAGGGUGCGAGCGUUAAUUGGAUUUACUGGGCGUAAAGCGUGCGUAGGCGGCUUCUUAAGUCGGAUGUGAAAUCCCUGAGCUUAACUUAGGAAUUGCAUUCGAUACUGGGAAGCUAGAGUAUGGGAGAGGAUGGUAGAAUUCCAGGUGUAGCGGUGAAAUGCGUAGAGAUCUGGAGGAAUACCGAUGGCGAAGGCAGCCAUCUGGCCUAAUACUGACGCUGAGGUACGAAAGCAUGGGGAGCAAACAGGAUUAGAUACCCCGGUAGUCCCUGUCUCUUAUAC